ensembl:lncRNA
AUGGAAGGCAGUGGCUAUUGGCUAGUGUUUUUGGAAGUAUUUUGGCCUGAGCGCUUUUGUGGGGUUGUCUCUCUUUCAUUCUAUUUUCCUUCUUCAAUUACUUUCCUCCUGAGACUCCCCGUUGAAGCUGGAAAAGCUCAGGGAAGAGAAGCAGGCAGACUGCAUGGUGUGGAGCUGACUUCAAAGUACACUCUGACAGAGUCUGAGUUGGUGCCAAGGUCGAUGUGCAUGGGACUGAAAGGCCCUCUUAGUCCCCAAAUACCUCCUCGCAACUUGUCUCAGUCUCUGAAAUUUCUCCCAUGAGUCCUUCUUUUUUGCAAGGGAAGUUUUGGAGAAGCAAAGGUAAGUUUUACUAGUUUAUUCCUCCCUUUUAGAGGUGAGAAGAUGGGUGGAUUCCUGAGCCCUACCAUAUUCCAGCUCUUAAUGCUGCUAUCAAAGAUAGGUUCCUGGACAGGAAAAGCCACUGACAGCUUUUAAAGUUUUAAAACUUUCUCAUAUUUUUCAUGGGUGGUUUCAAUAGGAAUAAACAUAACAUGCAAGCAAUUUCACAGUGCUUUGUGUUGAAAUCCAUGGAUUUUAGAUUUCUAUCAGAAUCCUGGCCUUGGGCUUUGGUGAUUCCUAUGUCCUUCUACACUUUAGCUGUAGAAACAGCAGGUGGAGUAAAACAGCCUGUUCAGAGCAGCCAGAUUUUGUUUUGGUUGUCAGCUAAAACAGAAACCCCAUCAUUCUCGGCUCGGCAGCUUGUUAGUAGAAAAGCCACUGGGAAGCUCUAAGUUGGUAAUUUAGAGCACAAAUGUAUUCCCUGAUACAGCUGCAGAGCAGCAGGUGUCUGUGGACUUAAGCAAACACUAGCUUUGAAAAAGUGAAAUAAGAAAAUCGAAAACUUUUUUUUUGCACAUGUCAAUAUGGCUGAAAAUAUGUUUACUUCUUGUUCCUGUUGGUUUCCUUCUUAUGAACUUGCUUAGACAUAGAUAAGUGAACAUUUCACUCAAUUCAAUUCAAUUUAACAAACAUUUAUUGAGUACCUACUGUGUACCAGACUCAGUGCUAGGUGUUGGGGAUCAUCAUUUUCUGUUUUAGAUUUUGGUGUGGAGACAGACAUGCAUACAGUUUCAUAAUAAAGGAACAAAUAAUUUCCCUCAGAGCACUGGACAAUUCUGAUCACGGAGUGGGAGAAGCCUUUUAGGAGAAGAUGAAUUAAAGGGAUAAAUAUUGCUGAAAUGGAUUGGAGGGAGAUAGUUCCAGGCAGAAGGAGUUGGAGGAGAAUCUGAAGGAUGUCAGAUUGAUUGAAGGUAGGAGGAAAAAAGACGAAUGUUCCUUUUGUGUCUCUGUCUGAUGGAUAUGCUUGUAUUAAAAAAUGCAAACAUUCCUUUAGACCACCUCUACCAAACCAUCUGCCCUGGGGGCCACAGAGCAUAGAGCCACCAAACUACAAAAGUAUGCAUGAACAUUUUCUUGUUAUACAAAGCAGGGGGAGAAUAGAAAAAGAAUCAUCAAAAAGAGAUGAAUACUAACUAUAAAAACAAAUAUAGAGUAAUAAAAAUGUAAAAAAACCCUCAGAUAUAGGAAAUUUCAUAAUUUUGUCUAGAUAUCUAUUAUGGCCUCAAAGAUCUAAUGAGAAACUAUUAUCCAUAUGAGCAGUACAAAUGUAAAAUACCUGUGAUUUACCUUAAUCUGAAAUUUAGGGCAAAGCCUAGAAAAGAAAACUACAAAUGCCAUAGGAG